rnacentral:rRNA from 1 species
GAUGAACGCUGGCGGCGUGCCUAAUACAUGCAAGUCGAGCGGACGGACGAGGAGCUUGCUUCGCUGAUGUUAGCCGCGGAGGGGUGAGUAACACGUGGAUAACCUACCUAUAAGACGGGGAAAACCUCGGGAAACGGGAGAUAAUACCGGAUAAGAUUUUGAAGCACGGUGUUGAAAAGUGAGAGACGGUGGUGCGGGCUGUUAUAGAUGGAUCCGAGCUGCAUUGGCUGGUUGGGAAGUUAAAGGCUUACGAAGGCAACGAUGCAUAGCCGACCGGAGAGGGGGAUAGGCCACAUUGGAACUGAGACACGCUCCAGACUCCUACGGUAGGCAGCAGUAGGGAAUCUGCCGCAACGGGCGAAAGCCUGACGGAGCAACGCGGAGUCAGUGAUGAAGGUCCUCGGAUCGUAAAAAUCUGCUACUAGGGAUGAACAUAUGUGUAAGUAACUGUGCACAGCUUGACGGUACCUAAUCAGAAAGCCACGGCUAACUACGUG